UUAGGAAUCUUGGACAAUGGGCGAAAGCCUGAUCCAGCCAUGCCGCGUGAGUGAUGAAGGCCUUAGGGUUGUAAAGCUCUUUCAGCGGGGAAGAUAAUGACGGUACCCGCAGAAGAAGCCCCGGCUAACUUCGUGCCAGCAGCCGCGGUAAUACGAAGGGGGCUAGCGUUGCUCGGAAUCACUGGGCGUAAAGCGCACGUAGGCGGAUUGCUAAGUCAGGGGUGAAAUCCUGGAGCUCAACUCCAGAACUGCCCUUGAUACUGACGAUCUUGAGUCCGGGAGAGGUGAGUGGAACUGCGAGUGUAGAGGUGAAAUUCGUAGAUAUUCGCAAGAACACCAGUGGCGAAGGCGGCUCACUGGCCCGGUACUGACGCUGAGGUGCGAAAGCGUGGGGAGCAAACA
rnacentral:rRNA from 1 species